rnacentral:misc_RNA from 1 species
GCACAACACAUAAGUUCCCACCACAUACAUACAAUCUAUAAGGCACACCGAUGUUCUACACAAAACCAGAAAGACAGAGAAAGUCUCACACUUAACACUAUAACCACCUACAUACAAGAUAGAAAAAACAGAAGGAAGCAGUAAAACAAUUACUCAAACAACAGCUACAGCCUCCGGAGAAGGCUUGACAGUAGCCUUGAGAACAUUGGCAGCAGCAGGGCCUCCCGCCGCCAGCGCCACUUUCACGUCUUUGGCAGGCACGACAGGUGGAGGCAUCAUAUGGGUGGGAGGGGAGUGCUUCAGCUUUGUGAGUAUUUGGCGCAUUCUUGAGAGAUCAGUGGGU